rnacentral:lncRNA from 1 species
GUGGAGACUCAACUAGCUACUGGACUCUGCUGACACAGUACCCACUGCCUGCUUCUGCUGAGUAGGAGAAGAGAGACCAGCUCCCAGCUCAGACCCAGAAAAUGACGCUGGUAAUAUUGCACCUGUCUGAGUUUGCCCGGGAUGAUCAUAGAGACGGGGUUUCACCAUGUUGACCAGGAUGAUCUCGAUCUCU